rnacentral:rRNA from 1 species
GAUGAACGCUGGCGGCGUGCUUAACACAUGCAAGUCGAACGAACCUUCGGGUUAGUGGCGGACGGGUGAGUAACGCGUGAGAAUCUGCCCUCAGGAGGGGGAUAACGGUUGGAAACGACCGCUAAUACCCCAUAUGCCGAUAGGUGAAAUGAAUUUCGCCUGAGGAUGAGCUCGCGUCUGAUUAGCUUGUUGGUGAGGUAAUAGCUCACCAAGGCUUCGAUCAGUAGCUGGUCUGAGAGGAUGAUCAGCCACACUGGGACUGAGACACGGCCCUGACUCCUACGGGAGGCAGCAGUGGGGAAUUUUCCGCAAUGGGCGAAAGCCUGACGGAGCAACGCCGCGUGAGGGACGAAGGCCUCUGGGCUGUAAACCUCUUUUCUCAAGGAAGAAGAUAUGACGGUACUUGAGGAAUAAGCCACGGCUAAUUCCGUGCCAGCAGCCGCGGUAAUACGGGAGUGGCAAGCGUUAUCCGGAAUUAUUGGGCGUAAAGCGUCCGCAGGCGGCCUUUCAAGUCUGCUGUUAAAGCGUGGAGCUUAACUCCAUUAUGGCAGUGGAAACUGAUCGGCUUGAGUAUGGUAGGGGCAGAGGGAAUUCCCGGUGUAGCGGUGAAAUGCGUAGAUAUCGGGAAGAACACCAGUGGCGAAGGCGCUCUGCUGGGCCAUUACUGACGCUCAUGGACGAAAGCCAGGGGAGCGAAAGGGAUUAGAUACCCCUGUAGUCCUGGCCGUAAACGAUGAACACUAGGUGUCGGGGGAAUCGACCCCUUCGGUGUCGUAGCUAACGCGUUAAGUGUUCCGCCUGGGGAGUACGCACGCAAGUGUGAAACUCAAAGGAAUUGACGGGGGCCCGCACAAGCGGUGGAGUAUGUGGUUUAAUUCGAUGCAACGCGAAGAACNUUNNCAGGGUUUGACAUCCUGAGAACCUCUUAGAAAUUUGAGGGUGCCUUCGGGAAUUCAGUGACAGGUGGUGCAUGGCUGUCGUCAGCUCGUGUCGUGAGAUGUUGGGUUAAGUCCCGCACCGAGCGCAACCCACGUUUUUAGUUGCCAGCAUUUAGUUGGGCACUCUAGAAAGACCGCCGGUGAUAAACCGGAGGAAGGUGUGGAUGACGUCAAGUCAUCAUGCCCCUUACACCCUGGGCUACACACGUACUACAAUGCUACGGACAAAGGGCAGCAAACUCGCGAGAGCUAGCAAAUCCCAUAAACCGUGGCUCAGUUCAGAUCGUAGGCUGCAACUCGCCUACGUGAAGUAGGAAUCGCUAGUAAUCGCAGGUCAGCAUACUGCGGU